UCUUUUGACGUAUCGCCUCAAAAGGGAAAUAGACGUUUUGUGAUGAAAACGAAUAAUUCCCUGGACAUCCCUUGGCAACGAGCACAAUCAUACUCCGGGGAGGCCCAGCAAUACUCGUAUCAUCAAGAAGAUAAUAACCCUUCGACGUCACGUUCCCGAUAACAGUGUAUCCUGGGGGUAUAUAUACGACUCGCUCACGUCUUCAAUCUAACAGACAGAAGCUCUUGGAAAGGGGAAGAGAAGCUCUCGUCUUGCCUAAAGCUUCAGCAGCAACAGGAGAUUUUUCCUAAACAUAAAAAUCAAAUCUCAGAAGCUCUUUUGCCUGACUCUAAAGUCCUGUAAGACUCCAGUUUCAUCGCCUUCAAAAUGAUCCAGGAAUUAUCUGCUUCCAAGAUGCUGCACCCAGCUCACGUCGUCCAGCAUCACACAAAACAUCAUUCCUUCCACGAUGAAACGAAGAGUCGCACAGGCUCCUCCGAAAGCGACCGAAGCUUCCAGAGCGACAGGGGCCACAGCAGCAGCUUCACCUCUCAAAGGAGGGACGAAAUGACUCGUCACCACCACAACAAAAGCACGAAGGCAGACAAGAAAUCGCACAAGAAGCAUAAUGCGAUUGACAGCGAUUUCGUCACUUACUUUAUCUGCCGUCGACCAUGAAAAGACACCUCUCUCUUUCUCUCUCAUUGCCUUUUAACUUUACUACUUAUACUUACUUUAUGUAUUUAAUUUAAGUAACUUAUAACCAUCAAAUGAUUUCAUGUUCCAUUAACCUAAUUUAUAUAUCUGUCACUUUCAUCGUCAAAUAAAAGUCAAUAUAA